GAUGAACGCUGGCGGCGUGCCUAACACAUGCAAGUCGAACGGAGUAUUAUUUAUGAAGUUUUCGGAUGGAAUAAAUAAUACUUAGUGGCGGACGGGUGAGUAACGCGUGGGUAACCUGCCUCAUACAGGGGGAUAACAGCCGGAAACGGCUGCUAAAACCGCAUACCUUAAGGAGACCGCAUGAUUUUCUAAGAAAUAUUAAUAGGUAUGAGAUGGGGCCCGCGUCUGAUUAGCUAGUUGGUGGGGUAAUGGCCUACCAAGGCAACGAUCAGUAGCCGGCUUGAGAGAGUGAUCGGCCACAUUGGGACUGAGACACGGCCCAAACUCCUACGGGAGGCUG
rnacentral:rRNA from 1 species